AUCCGCCAAACAACUACGAGUGAAAACUUAAAACUUAAAAGACUUGACGGUACUUCAUAACAACCUAGAGGAGCCUGUCUAAUAACCGAUAACCCACGAUCAACCCAACCACUUCUAGCCAUCCAGUCUAUAUACCGCCGUCACCAGCCUACCUUGUGAAAGAAACAAAGCAAGCUCAACAGUAUAACACUAGUAAGACAGGUCGAGGUGUAACAAAUGAAGUGGACCAAGAUGGGCUACAUUUUCUAACACAGAAAACACGAACAGAAAUAUGAAAAACUCCUAGAAGGCGGAUUUAGCAGUAAGCUAAGAACACCUUACUUAACUGAAACCAACGCAAUGAAGUGCGCACACACCGCCCGUCAUCCCUG
rnacentral:rRNA from 1 species